rnacentral:lncRNA from 12 species
AGAUAUUUGAAUGGACAUUUCCUCCCCUCAAUUUUAGCACCCUCAUAUAAUUCAUUUGCAGUAAUGUUCUUACAGGAAUAAUCAACAAUUAAUACUCUGUCUCUACGGUUCUCUCUAACCACCAGAUGCUAUUGAGGCUUAAUGGGUCUGAACAAAAGAAAAAGAACUUUGGUGGGGAAAGAUGUCUUUCAGAAUCCUACUUUGAACCAGAAGAAUCUAUUCUCUUGAGACUGUUGAAGAGAAGGAUGAAGUAUGAUGCAUGCCCGGGAGCUUAAUGGUUUACAAGGUGGGACUCCCACUGUGUCUUUUUUUUGCUGGUGAUUUUAUGAUUCUCCUACACACAACAUGAUGGAUUCUUGAGUAUCCAGAGCUUUGAAUCUGUACUUUUUUUUUCUUUUCCAGCUUGAAUGAAACCCUUCAGGCAGAGCUGUGAAGAUGUGGUUCUUAAAUAAAAUAUUUUUCUACUGUGCUAAUAAUUCA